AGCGCGACGCCGCCGCCCUGCUCCCUCCUCCAGUGCGCCGCCGCCGCCCGGCUCCCUCCCCCAGCGCGCCGCCGAUCGGCCCCUCCCCAAGCGAGCUGCGGACUGCCCCAUCUACCCUAGCGUGCCACCACUGGCCCCCUCACCCAGCGCAUCGUCGAGCGCCCCCUGGAUGGCGCAACUCUAGCUGCACCAUCAUGGUGGAGGCGCGGCGCCGUCUUUGAGAUGCUCCAUCAGUUGCUCCUCCUCCUCCUGUUAUGCACAAGCUCCAAUUCGUCGAGAUACUCCAUGGAGGUACUCCAUUUUAUGUUUUCAAUUCAUCUUAUAAAAAAUCAGAACAAACUAUGUGUCAUUUUUGUCAUUCACGCAAGUUCAGGCAUACCUUCUGCAAAAGUUCAAGAAUCUGAAGAAACGAAGCUCAAACCAAGUUCAGAAACUGUUUCUGGAUUAAAUUAGUUGUUUUGGCUAAUUCUAUAGUACAUGUGUGUAUUGUGAUUAUAAUUGUGGCUUUGGAGUUGAGAAAAAGAUAACAAAAAGGUACAUAAAUGAACCCAAAAACAUUUGGUAGUUUUUGGAAGCCCAAAGUUCAGUUCAACAUGUUUUCUAUUAUCAACUCGUUAAGAACCCCAGAAACGGUUCAAUGUGUGUGUUAAAAAAAAUAGCUGGCUAUAUAAAAAAAUUAGUAGCUAGGCAAAAAGAAGUUUGUAUCAGUUCAGACUUGCCUGCACAGAAGGAUAGAGGCCCUUGUCCUGUAUGUUUAGGUUUGCAUCAAUGCUCCAGCCAACUCCAUUAUCUACUCAGGAAAUGCUCCACUGCUAAAUCCAUUUGAAGUUUUGUCAGGUUUGGUGACUCCUCUCCCUUUCCCUUUUCAUGUAAUGCAUUUAGGACAAGUUCAAGUAUAGGUAAAGAAGAUUCUCACCACAUAAAUAUUGAUCUAGAGCUCUUCAGUUUGACAGUUUUUCAGUUCGUGUGGAGCUUGUCAAUUCGACAAUUUUUCAUUUCGUGCGGAGCUAGUCAUUGUUUUAGGUUGAGUCUAGCUGUACUGAAUGCUUGCACUUCUCUGAACUGAGAGUACGCUUGAGUUUCCUAUUCAUUCUAAUCUUAAUAGGUUAUCUUGAUAGGAGUCUAGUGUUAGUUACUAAAUUCUAGUCAGAGUAGUGUAAUCAAAGGAAUGUAGAUAACUUGUGUCCUGGUAUCACUUGUACAAUUGCGUUGUUGUGUUGCACACUUGUACUCACAUAUUAUUAUGUUGCGAUACUAGUUCUGAACAUUUUGUUAUGUAUGUCACAUGCAGGUUUCUCCCCAUUCUUCUCGUCUAAAUACUAUGCCUUUCAUACCUUUAUAUAUAAAAAAAAGCUCAGUCUGAAACUACAUUUUUGCCCAGAGCCUUGACCUAGGACAUUCUGAAUAAAACUUCAAAGAAGUCUGAAAUGCACUGUAGUAUAUAAAGCCUUGUUCAUCAUUGGAUUCUGAUACUAGAAUCUAGAGUAAGAAAUCAAUAUUGUAAUAUGUAGGCGCAAGAACAUAACUCCCUACUUGAAAUGGUUCUACACCAGUAGUAGAACUUACUGGUUCUCCGUGACCUAAAGUUGAAAACAGACAAAAAUUCUCAAGAAUUGAGGCUUCGCCAAGGAACAAGACUGGUAACUAGCGCAAAGGAGAAUAUGUCGAGAGGUGGCACUGCUAGACUUGCUGAUGUGUAGUUAUGGCUUAAAAAAGAUGAAAAAAUUGUAUCUUGUAUGAUUCCAUAAGCUGUACAUAGCAAAUCUUCCCAUGUGGAUCAGUACAACUUAUGUACGGCCUUGAGUUCACAAAUCUUAUAGUAAUCUUUGUAGUACUUUUCG